GCAUUAAUGGGGCAGUGGUAAACUCGGUCGUUAACGUUGCCAGAGAAUGUCCAUCAGUAUCGACCCGCCGGGGGUUCAAUACCCUCUUAAUGCA